GACGAACGCUGGCGGCGUGCUUAACACAUGCAAGUCGAACGAUGAAGCUAGAGCUUGCUCUGGUGAAUUAGUGGCGAACGGGUGAGUAACACGUGAGUAACCUGCCCCGAACUCUGGGAUAACUGCUGGAAACGGUAGCUAAUACUGGAUACGACCUACGAAGGCAUCUUCUGUAGGUGGAAAGAAUUUGGGUUCGGGAUGGACUCGCGGCCUAUCAGCUCGUAGGUGGGGUAAUGGCUCACCAAGGCGACGACGGGUAGCCGGCCUGAGAGGGGGACCGGACAGAGUGGGAGUGAGACACGGCCCAGACUCCUACGGGAGGCAGCAGUGGGGUAUAUUGCACAAUGGGCGCAAGCCUGAUCCAGCAAUGCCGCGUGAGUGAAGAAGGCCUUCGGGUUGUAAAGCUCUUUUGUCAGGGAAGAAACGGCUGUGGCUAAUAUCCACGGCUAAUGACGGUACCUGAAGAAUAAGCACCGGCUAAC
rnacentral:rRNA from 1 species